AUUGAACGCUGGCGGCAUGCUUUACACAUGCAAGUCGAACGGCAGCGGGGGCUUCGGCCUGCCGGCGAGUGGCGAACGGGUGAGUAAUGCAUCGGAACGUGCCCAUGUCGUGGGGGAUAACGUAUCGAAAGGUACGCUAAUACCGCAUGAGACCUGAGGGUGAAAGCGGGGGAUCGCAAGACCUCGCGCUAUUGGAGCGGCCGAUAUCAGAUUAGCUAGUUGGUGGGGUAAAGGCCUACCAAGGCAACGAUCUGUAGUUGGUCUGAGAGGACGACCAGCCACACUGGGACUGAGACACGGCCCAGACUCCUACGGGAGGCAGCAGUGGGGAAUUUUGGACAAUGGGCGCAAGCCUGAUCCAGCAAUGCCGCGUGCAGGAAGAAGG
rnacentral:rRNA from 1 species